UGGAUUUGCAUUGUUGCAAAAAGUAAAAAAAAUGUGGCCAACAGACGAAUAAGAGGGAAUAUAUAACUAUGAAAUAUAGGAAGCAGCAGAGGAGAAGAUGAUGUAUUGUAAGUGAUAUAAGCUGCACCAUUUACUAUCAAGGACUCCUAGAAUCCUGUUUGGACCCUCGCUGGAAUCCAAUAUGAAUAAUGUCAGUCCUGCUCUG
rnacentral:lncRNA from 13 species